GUCAGGUGUUGCUCAGUUAAUGACUGUUACAAUGUUGCAAAUAAAGUGUCCACUACCGGGUUGUACAUAAACAUUCCACGUUGUGGGUGAUGGAAUUUAAAGAUAAGAAUGUCUAGGUUUAAUUUCUGAACAAGGGAAGUUUGGACAAGUGAACAGGGGAUAGCUGAGCUUCUUUGUUUAUGUUGGCCAUCAGGGUCAUGAAAUGCUACUGUUUCAUCUAAAGGCAUAUUAAUGUUUAGUUUCUCUUUUGGAAAUUCUUUAAUUUGCAGGUUAAAAAAGGACAGACUUUUGAUGAUUGUUUUCCUCAAGUAGUUUAGGGGCAUGAAUUGCAUUCACGUAGAGAGAGAAUGUGUGGGUCUAAGUAAGAAUCAAUGCAAUUUAAGUAAGCAGGUUAUCUGGUGACUUACAAUAGUGGUAGUUUGAAGCUGUCUGAUUUAAGCCUCUCAUAACAAUAUCAUGAAUAUGCGAAGUAGAGCAUAAACCCAAGUAAAUAGCCUUACUUCUCAACCAAGUGUGAAGAGAGAGCCCUAGAUAUUCCUCAUUAGUCAGUGGAAGAGCCCGACUUUCAGAGAUUGUUUUCUGCAGCACAAAGGGAGUAUCCAAAAGCAGAGAGAAGUUUUUCUAUUUUUAUUCCAUUGCUUUCAGUUCGAUAAAACAUAGUAUGGCACAGUUUUCGUUAGAAUUAGGGGAACAAGGUGCCUCCAGUUGCAGGAACGUUUCAGUUCCCUUCAGUCAUUCCUGGGUUUUUCCUUAUUUUAUUUUCUAAGGAGGUCGAAGAAGGAAGAGAUGAUAAAGAAGAAAGCAACACCUUUUUUUUUUUUUUUUUUUAAGAAAUGGCACAUAUAUGUAUAUGUUGGUAUGUGUGUGUAUUCUGUGUAUUAUUUUGUCAUGAUCCCAGUUAUCUUCUUUCCACCAAAGUUUGCAGUAAUAUUCUCUCCCGAAGGUGCGUUCUGGCUCCUUUAAAUUAGUCAGUGUUAUAUUGUAGGAGACUGUCAUGGAAAAGGACUCAGUUUACUUUUGUCGUUUUCACAGGGGAACCUUUUGAAACAAUCUCUUCAGCAGCAGACACCUUUAACCCUAAUAAUCUCAGGCCUUGAUGAAAAUACUAUAUUUUGUAGAUUAUGGUUAAAGGGAGAAAAUUACUAGUUCUGUAAGAUAAAUAUGAGCUCCAUUAACUUCUGAUAUCUGGUUUAGCAUUACAUAAUGUGUUGAUCUUUUGCUCUGCUUUUAUCCAAAUAAGAUGCAAUAGUAUCAAUAUCAGUUUCUGAAAGAUGGACUGAAUAUGCUUUUUUGGUGAUGAAAUCUGAUGUACGAUAUUUAUAGUGACGUACUUUUAUUUUCUCAUGAGAAACUAAAUAUUAAUUGUGUUGUACAUUUGUUCUUAGCAUAUAUUAAAGUUUUGAACCAAAUGUGUUAAAGCUUAUGCUUUGCCAUGUAAAUUUCCCAGAAGUUGUUGAGCUCAAAUGUAUCCUACAUCCAGCUGUAGAAAUUUGUCAGAAAUUGUUUAAAUUUUGUAUAUAGUUGUACUGUUUAAUUCUAGCCACUGCGGUGAACAGUAUUCGAGUUACCAUACAAUAUGGCUUUACACAAGGAAAUGUGUGGCUUUUGUUUUGUAUUUUUUUCAGUAUAGAAGUUCCUGUGUCUUAUUUAAAUAAAGUUAUUAGUAAAACUGGA
rnacentral:lncRNA from 1 species